rnacentral:rRNA from 1 species
AAUCAACGCUGGCGGCGUGCCUAACACAUGCAAGUCGAACGCGGUUUCCUCGCAAGGGGAAACUGAGUGGCGAACGGGUGAGUAACACGUGGGUGACCUACCUUCGAGUGGGGGAUAACGUCCCGAAAGGGACGCUAAUACCGCAUAACAUCCUGCCUUUGAAGAGGUGGAGAUCAAAGCCGGGGACCGCAAGGCCCGGCGCUUGAUGAGGGGCCCGCGUCCGAUUAGCUAGUUGGUGGGGUAAUGGCCACCAAGGCAACGAUCGGUAGCCGGCCUGAGAGGGCGGACGGCCACACUGGGACUGAGACACGGCCCAGACUCCUACGGGAGGCAGCAGUGGGGAAUUGUUCGCAAUGGGCGCAAGCCUGACGACGCAACGCCGCGUGGAGGAUGAAGGUCUUCGGAUUGUAAACUCCUGUUGCUCGGGACGAAAGCCCUGACCUAAUACGUCGGGUCUGACGGUACCGGGUGAGGAAGCCCGGCUAACUCUGUGCCAGCCGCCGCGGUAAU